rnacentral:rRNA from 1 species
ACAGUCACACAUUAGAUACCCCCGUAGUCCCAGCCGUAAACUAUGCGCGUUAGGUGUAUCGGUGACCACGAGUCACCGAGGUGCCGAAGGGAAACCGUGAAACGUGCCGCCUGGGAAGUACGGUCGCAAGGCUGAAACUUAAAGGAAUUGGCGGGGAGCACCACAACGGGUGGAGCCUGCGGUUUAAUUGGACUCAACGCCGGGAAGCUCACCGGAUAAGACAGCGGAAUGAUUGCCGGGCUGAAGACUCUGCAUGACUAGCUG